rnacentral:lncRNA from 1 species
GGAAUAACUGCUAAUAUUCAUACAGACAGUAGAUAUGCCUUUGGAGCAGCCCGUGAUUUUGGAAUGCUAUGGAAACAGAGAUAAUUUUUAACAUCUUCUGGUCAAAAAAACUGGAUGCCUCAUUCCACCAUUGUUAGAGGCUAUAUUAUUACCAAAAUCACUGGCCAUAAUUACAAAUCCAGGCCAUUCCAAAUCAGAUACACCAGAAAGCCAAGGAAAUCAGCUAGCUGAUCAGGUGGCAAAAAGAGCUGCUCUAAAUGCAUCUAAACAGGAAAAGCAAUCUAUAUUAACUUUUAAAGAAGCACCUGAAUUUGACAGAAAAUUAACUCAAUCCAGAGCUCCAAAAUCUGGGCAGGAAAAUUGGAAGAGUAAAGGGGGAACAUGCUCUCCCAAAGAUGAAGUAAGGUACGGGCUGAGCUACGGGCCUAUGCUUCCUGCUGAUACAGUCAUCAUUCUUAACCCAUGGACGUGACCUAACUCACUGGAGCCCUGCUUAAUCAAAACAGUUGCUUCAAAACAAUACAUUUGGAAACCUUCUUUGACUAUAGCUCUGAGCUCCAGGUAGACAAUUUCAAGCAUCACAGACUUCAACCAGGAGAUUUCAUCCAUUGGAAAUGACAUUUUUAAAAGAACUCACUUAAACCAAAGUGGUAUGGACCUUAUCAGGUACUCCUUACUAACCCUUACACUGCAGAAUUAGAAGAUAUAGACUCUUGGAUUCACAUGUGAAGAAGGCUGAGCCUCCUAAAUGAACUGUUUCACUGGAAGGUGAUACCCCCUGAGAUGGUUAGGACAGUGUUCUUUGGGUUAUGCCUGGGCACGAGCUCACAUAGUUCAUACCCUUUCAACCCCACAAACUGUCCUCAUUUAUAGUUUCAUUGGAUUUGUUCUGUAUUCCAUUGGUAUGAUCCUUUAGCUGCCAUCUUUCUGCCCAACUGGGUAUUGAAGGUGGCAUUUGACAUGUAGAGACCCUAGCCAAUCAUGCACAAAAUGUCCUAAAUAAUAGCCACAUGAAUAUUGUGAUUAAAUAAAGUUAUUCUCAUGAAAAAGCCUGUAUUACAAAGCUAUAUAGCUUUAGACAAACUUAUUGCAACCCAAGGGGAACCUGAGCUAUCAUAAAAACUAAAUACUGUGUCUCUAUCCCUGAUAAAUCAAACAAUAUCACUAAAUUAAUGGCUAAUAUGAAAACCCAAAUAACAAACUUUUCAGAUCCAAAAUCUUCUCCAAGCAACUGGCUAACUAGCUGGUUUGGAUCUUGGAAAACUUGGUGACAAAAACUGUUCCUUGUUCUGAGAAUUAUAAUCAUUUGUGUUUUGUACUGUUUUUGUCCACACUGCUGUAAUAACAUUUCUUUACAAUUGAGUCAAUGUGACUAGAAAGGCUAAAAUAAUGGCCACUUGAAAGAUGAUAUUAACUGAAAUACUCAUGUAACCUGACUCAGGUCACAAAGUCACUUCCUUCAUGUUGCUUUAAAUUUGGCUAAUACUCCAUCAGCUUCAUAGUUUGUCCAUUCCUCCCUUCCCAGUGGCCUAUGACAUCCUAGGAAUUAGACUUUCUAAUGACAUGGGACUAAAUUCCUGAGCAUAAAAGAAGCCAAACUAUUGAGUUCAUCUACAAUGCUCUCUUCCAAAGUUCUUAGUGAAAAGAGGAGGGAGAAAACGUGAAAAUAAAUAUAAUUUAAAAGCUGUUGGGGCAGGAGUGCUG